rnacentral:rRNA from 1 species
GUGCCAGGCCACUGCGGUUAGACCUGGUGGGAUGUAGAAUAUUUAGUGGGUGUGUAGUUAUAUAUUUUAUUUUAUGUUGUAUAUAUUAGAUUUGAGUAGGGGUGGAAUAUUAAAGUAAAUAUUAAUAUAUUGGUUAUAGGAUUAUAAUAGAGGCUUUUAACAUUUAGAUAUAAACUAGGAUUAGAUACCCUAUUAUACUAAAUAUAGAAUUGUAUACUUGAGUAGUAUUUGUUAUGGUCUCUAAACUUAGAGGAUUUGGCGGUAUCCAAGUCUAGUUAGAGGAACCUGCACUGUAAAUGAUAGUCCACGAAGUAUCUUACUUUAUUUUGAUGUCAGUUUGUAUACCGCCAUUAGAAAAUAAUAUUAAAAAAUAUUUAUUUAGAUAGGGAUUGUCUAGUAUAUUAGGUCUGGGUGCAGCCUAUGGUAAAGUAGUUGUGGGUUACAAUGUAUUAUAUAUAUUAUGGAUAAUAUUUUGAAUAGAAUAUUUGAAGGUGGAUUUAAUAGUAAGUUUGUUUUAACAUGUCAUAUUGAUAUAAGCUCUAGGAUAUGUACAUAUCGCCCGUCACUCUCGUGCUAAAGUGAGAUAAGUCGUACAAAAAGUAGGGA